UAUGAUUGCUGACGCGUAGGGACAUUACCGAGUUUACAACUCCCAAACCCAAUGUGAACGUUACCAAACUGUUGCCUCGGCGGGGUCACGCCCCGGGUGCGUCGCAGCCCCGGAACCAGGCGCCCGCCGGAGGAACCAACCAAACUCUUUCUGUAGUCCCCUCGCGGACGUAUUUCUUACAGCUCUGAGCAAAAAUUCAAAAUGAAUCAAAACUUUCAACAACGGAUCUCUUGGUUCUGGCAUCGAUGAAGAACGCAGCGAAAUGCGAUAAGUAAUGUGAAUUGCAGAAUUCAGUGAAUCAUCGAAUCUUUGAACGCACAUUGCGCCCGCCAGUAUUCUGGCGGGCAUGCCUGUCCGAGCGUCAUUUCAACCCUCGAACCCCUCCGGGGGAUCGGCGUUGGGGAUCGGGACCCCUCACACGGGUGCCGGCCCCGAAAUACAGUGGCGGUCUCGCCGCAGCCUCUCCUGCGCAGUAGUUUGCACAACUCGCACCGGGAGCGCGGCGCGUCCACGUCCGUAAAACACCCAACUUUCUGAAAUGUUGACCUCGGAUCAGGUAGGAAUACCCGCUGAACUUAAGCAUAUCAAUAAAGC
rnacentral:rRNA from 1 species